CGGACCCGGAGCAGCUGGGGAGAGUGCGGCUGCGCGGGAAGUUUGGCGUUCGUGUAGUGUUCAGCGCUUGUUUUUGCGUCUUGCUUGGAGGUCUACAGGUACCCUCGCAAUUUUGCCUCUCCAGCAUUACUAGCCUGCCUGCCCAGCUCACUCCCGUGUUCUCCCGCCUCACCACAUCAUGUUGGCUUUGCAGCAGUGAUUCUCAACCAGUGGCAUCUUUUGGCAGUGUCUGAAGACAUUUUGGUUGUCACAGCUGGAAACUAGUAGCAUCUAGUGAGUAGAGGCCAAAGAUGCUGCUAAACAUCAUACGAGGUGCAGGGUAGCCUGUCACAACAAAGAAUUAGACCCCUCAAAAUGUCAAUAGAGCCGCUGUUGAAGAAUCCUGCUUCUCUGAGUCACAGUUCAAAACUGCAUAUUAAAGGCAAUGCCCACCAGCUUCUACCAAAUAUGUGUAUGUAUGUGUGUGUAUUUGUGUAUUUCUAAAUUCUGGAGUCCUUACCCAUGCAUCUUAAUACUAAUACUUUUUCCUAUCGUCCAGCUCUGUCCAUUUCACCAUCACUCUUGAGAAUCAGGGAGAGAGAAAUACGGGAUAAUACUUCUCUUCUUGCCUCAAAUAUCUAUGCAAGUGAGGAUAGGAAGGCAAAAAGAUACACAGGGCUAGAAUCUUGCUCUAUUUUAUUCUCAGCUUCUUGUGAACUUUCAAAUAUUACAGCAGCAUGGACAUGCUUCAUUACAGCUUCUUUUUCCCACCAACUUCACUCUGCUAUCUCCAACACCGUCAAAAUUCCUUUCCUUGUCUUUGGGUAGCUUGCUGGAAAUACUUUUAUGAGACAUCUAUAUAUAAAAAUAUAUAUAUACACAUAUAUAUCAUAUAUACACACAUAUAUAUAUAUCAGAUUUCUGUGAAAUUUUACACUGAUUAUUUCUAAAAAUAUCCAGGCCAUCUUUUUAGCCUCUUUUUUUUUAAGGGGUUGAAUUGAUUUGACUCUGGUAUUAAUUUUGGCUAUGCCAUAUUUACUUCUGGACACAGCAGUUACAGAGAAACUGAAAUGGGAGGAGAAUAAUACUGCCCCUGCCCUGAAUUUCCUGGUUUAGAAGGAGGGGACUUUGGAAAAGGGAGGCCAAAGCAUGGUUUGUAACAAGCUGAAAAUACGCCCUUGAAAGCUGAUGCCUAAACUGUGCCUGUGAAAUGGUAAACAAGUUUGACCAUGGGUUUGACUUACUUACAAUAAGGAAAAAACCAGUUGAAGAAUUUCACUUCCUCUUUACACUUAAACAGAAGUAGACCAUCAAGAGCCUUUGAUGGUCUUUCCAAAGAAUUAGGGCAAAUGGAAGAAUAUAAUAAAUAGAAAAGAACUAAACAAAAGAAAAAUUUAAAAAUAGCAGCAAAAUGUUUUUAAAAAGCUAAAAACAUUUUAGAAAGUGUCAAAAGAGUAAUUACUAAACCCACAUGGCUGUGACAAGUGAACUGCAAUCAGAGGCCAUAGUACAAAAAAUAAUUAUUCAUUAACUUGCACUGCUACAUGUUAUUCCAGCAAUGACAGUGAAUUCUGAACUUAAAUCUCUAAUUUAGCAGAGUCAUUCCUGUAAUAGACUUGCAAAAAAAAAAAAAAGAAAAAGAAAAA